AGGAACUGGGGCUUUUCAACAUGUUUGUAACAGCAAAGCAACUGCUCCAGGAGUGUCACUGUUUUGAAGCUGCCGGGUGAUUCUGUCCCUCUGAGGCAUGACAAGGACUCCGCUGACGGGUGCAGUGAAAUAAAUGCUUUGUGCCAUCUACUGGUGCCGCUGGGAGCUGCGGGUCAGCCCGGGCCGGAGUUGUGACGGACUCAAGCGUGCAGUGUGGGAAAAGAAGGAAACUCGCUGUAAAUGCCCCAAACAAUCAUCUUUGCUUUUUUUUGUGACUAAUUGCUAUGCCUGGGAAAACAAACUGCAGUUCUGUUGUUCCUGGUUGAAGUCAAUGGGUGCUCUUAGUGCACACAAAAAAUGCAGCCCAGGGAAGCUUCCACCUGCCCAGUCCUCAAGGAAAUAUCAGAUGGGAAGAGGCCUCCUAAAUUCAGAGUGCCUGUUCCAGUGGGGGAUGUGUAUUUUUAAUUAUCUGCUGUCCUUAGUUGAAGAGAUUUGUCCCUGCACUAUAUAAGUGUACUUCUGCUCGCUGAAGAAAAACUGUGCACUUUAUGCUCAGAAGGAUCCAAGAGUAAAGAAAACUUGGAAAUUAAAAUGAAAGAAAAGAUUCCAGAGUUUUGAAGAUGCUUGUAAAUCAUCCCAGCAGGAAUAUUAAGCAUCAUAGUCUUAAGAGCAUUCUCUUGGCCAGAAUAUUCCCCUACAGCUCUGGGGAAGAGGAAAGUUGGGAAGGAAUGCUAAUGGAGAGACAAGAAGUGAAGAGCUGCAGUCUCCAGCAGCCUCAGCUGAGAGGCACAGAGAGCUCUGAGUGUGAAACUUUGCCGCAGAUCUGGAGAAAGAUGGAUCUGCUCUGUAUCCCUCACAGCUGGGGGAGGCACUCAGCCUUUGGACAUGGUGAGUGCUGUGGCUGCCAACAGCUCGCUGCUUCAGGAUGGAAUCAGCUCUGCACUUGGGCAGAGCCAGGGCUGGGGAAACACAGAUGGGAUGUCAUUAACAUUAAUGGACUGGCUAAGGAAGAGUUCUGCAUGCUGACAAGAUAAUGUACAGCUUUAAUAUAGCAAAUUUCUACAGCUGGUGGGGACUCUGGUGCCUUUCUUGUGGAACGUGCCCAGCUAUAACAUUUAUUUUCACUGUUUAAAAUCAGUCCUGAGGAAGAUGUGGGUGAGAUCCUGUUCCCUGUUUCCAUCAAAGCACCCACUUCUCUGACAAGGACCUGACCUCCCACCUCACUUUUUCAAAUGAUUGCUCAGACUCCUUCUGCUGAGCAGAAAAUAUUUAAACUGUUGUUCAAAAUGAACGCUUAUCAGGUGGUGUCUUUCCCCCUUCCCAGAGCAGAGCAUUAAUUAAAUUGGAGGACUCAAGGGCCUGUCUGGAAGGGAUUCUGGAUGGAGAGGAAGUGCAAACCCAGAGGACCAACAUGAAAUGCAUCCAGAUGUUCUUCUGAAAUGGAAGAGUUAAAAAUCCAAGCUCAAAAGGACAAAGAAAGGAAAAAAAGGAGAAAUCUUGACUCUGGAAAACAAGAAGCUGCUUAUCAGAGGAGAUGUGGAUGUGUGAUGCCAGGGUGGGGCAGUUUUCUCUUCAAUUCCUGUGCUUCCUCUGAGGUGGUUUGACUUUUGAAAUAUAGGAAAGAAAAGUGACUUGUUUGUUUCCUGCACUGGGAAAGAUGGAAUAGGAAGAGGGGGCAGAUUUUGCACCAUUAAUGUUGCAGGAGUAGAGGAAUUCCCUGUCUGUUGAUAUUCAAAACAGCAUGAAAUGGCUUUUUAACUUUUUACUGGGAAAACUAACAGGGAUAUCAAAGGACCAUAUUAAUUAGGAAAGAAGCAAGAAGCCUCAAUAUGAAUUUUGUGUUUGUUUGGUGUGAAGAGCAGCACUAUAUUGGUGGUGGCAGUGAAGAUGAGUUCUGGAGAUGCAGCAGUCAUCUGAUCUUCCCUCCCCUUCUGCAUCCACCAAUCCUCACCAAAAUGAGGAAAGAAGAAAGAAAGAAACAGAAAGAACUUCUGUUGUGGUCUGGAGUGUUUUCCUGAGAUUAUUUCUACUAUUUCAGCAAGCUCAGUAGAGUUACUGAAUGCUCAGAAAGACUUUUUGAUCUGGACUGGA